rnacentral:lncRNA from 1 species
CCUACUGAGCGAGGCCAGGAAUCAAACCCGUGUCCUCAUGGAUCCUAGUCAGGUUUGUUACUGCUGAGCUGCUAUGAGACUCCCUGUACUUUUUUCAUUGCUUUGUAACCACUUCUCCCCUCCUGCCUAGUUGUUGUAAUCUAAUCUCCUCUUUAAUGGAAAAUACUUUUCAUGGUUACUGUGGUUGUUCCAUCUGGUGAUAUCUGUCCAUAAAUUCUUCACUUCCGGCAAUUACCAUUCCAUUCAAGCAUGAGGACCCCAUGGCCAACUGACUUAUCUGUGUGUCACUUCUUCAGACACGUAGAGACUCACCUGUACCACCCUGAUUACUAAGACUAGACACAUGUGACCCACGCCGUUCUCAUUCUAGAACCAGAAAUCCCCACUGAAAACAGUCCAUCCCCUUUCUCUUCUGUCUGAUAAAAGACACUUGAGUCCUGGAUCUCAGGCCGAGCUGUAGAGGAGUAAAGAUGGAAAUCCUGUGAAAUUGGAUUGUGGUGAUCAUUAUACAACUACAGAGGUGAUAAAAAAUAAAUAAAUAAAAAAUAAAAUAAAAAACAAACCAAUUACUAUUUCCAAACGAAGGUGCAACCUUAAAUAGUUUAAAUGCUUAAAAAAAACCCAAAAACCAAAAAACAGAACACAGUGAACAUGCAAAGGGGGAAUGUGUUUAUCUGUUAGUUUUUGAUAAGGGAGGCAUUGCUGUCGGACCUAAUCUCAUCUGCCUAUGGUAGUGAAGGGGCAAUCUUUUUGCUUUCUCAGGAAUCACCAUCAAUCUUAUCUAUCAGAACUGUUCUCCAGAAUCCUAAAUCAGUUUUCGUUUAGGGGUGUGGGGGGAGGAAGAGGCAUGCUGCUUAGAGUGACAAGAGCUGCGUUUGAGACUUGGGUCUGCUUUUACCGGGAGCUCCCAGUAGAAUGCCCUGGGCAUUUUAUUCCCGCUCUCUGAGCCUCAGUUUCCCCAUCCAUAAGAGGGGGUCGAGGGUGCAGUGCGAGAUGCAGGAACUUACGCUGUAAGCAGCGAUCAUGAGGAUGGUAACAACGGCCACGGUGAUAAAGAUGAUGACGACUCCCGGCGGUGUGACCUGGACGGAGCGAUUUCACCUCCCAAAGCCCCACUUUUAUUAUUUGAAAAUGAGGGCAAAGGAUGGACGAAGUGCCCACUGAGACCACAUAACAGCUUGAUAGGGACAUUGAUGCAUAGGAAGGCAGAAGGACUCCUCGUAUGGCUAUGCAUGUUAAUAUCCCCAACUUCUGGCAUAUCCAUGGCUCUGAUGUUGGGACUGGACUGAAAGGAACCGAAUUCCUGCCCAGCCACUGUGCAUGGUUUUUUGCACCUCGGGAGCCAAAGCCAACACAGCUAAGGUUGCUUGUGGAUCCAAAAACAAGGACCAGAAGUGGCAUUUAGGCUUUCAAAGAAUACGUUUCCCCUCACCACCCCUCAUUCCCAGAUCUUUUCCCCUUUGUAACAGAAACCUCCGUGUGCAAUCUCCAUGUCCCUCUUGCUUGUCUGAUUUGAUACACGUCCCUAUGGCCACAGCCUUUGGUUAUAGAGGAGAGGUUGGGCAUGUGCAGAGGGAUGGUCCAGAUACGCUGCUGUCCCCUGUGACGACAUUAAAGAGAACCGGACCUACUUUGUAUUCCCCAGAAGGAAUCUGUUGGCUUCAAAGCAUCACUGAAAACUUUGUAGGGAAGAGAGAAGAGAUGGCAUGCCCUAUGGAAGACUUUGUAAAAUCCCCAUCUGCACGCAUCCUGCCCAAACACCACGAGGGGCUGACCCUUGCCCACCUGCAACCAGUCCUGCAGACUCAGGGCUCCUCUGCCUGCUGUCUCCCUGCCCCUCAACCCACCAACCCACACUCUUCAACAAAGAAAGGCUGCAGUAGCUACUCCAUCCUCCUCCUUAGAAAGAAUGAGGGGGUGGCAAUUAUACAUAACUUUUUUUCCUUGUCAUGCACACUCUAAGAAAGCACUGCUUAACUGUCAAGAUCACAUGUUUGUCAAAUGUCCUUAAGAAUCUUUGCCAAUCCUCCUUUCUUGAGAAUCAUUAGAUUGGCAAAGUUGUGACAAAGUGCUUUUAGUUCUGAGAGAGGAAAAGUGUCCCCUCAGCAAAGGGUGAAUACAUUCAAAUAUGUGUGUAACACACAGAUAUAUAGGCCAAUAUACAUGAUCUGUAACAUUUGUAUACUUUGGGGGUAGACAUAUUUGUAGAUAAAUACGCAUGUGUGUAAAUGCAUAUGUGCGUGUAUAUAUAUCAGGAUAAGCCAGGGGAACCAGUGAUGAUGAAGGUGGGGGUUUUUUUUAACUGAAAUGGAAAAAUGCUUCUGGCUGGAUGAUACCGAGUUGUUAUGACCUCAUCUCAUAUAAGAAGAGAUGAGUAGGCUCUUCCCAGAAUUAAAACUAAGCUUUAAAAGAACACCGAGCGAGCCCCAGCACCUCAUGUGCCUGUCAUCCUUCCUUUGGAGAAGGGGAAUUGCUCCUGAUCUCUUGCAGGUCCCUUUUCUCUGAACUUAGCGAGGAUAAUCUCCAGGGCAAAGUCAGCUUUCUGAGUCAUCAGCAGUACCGCAGGGCUCUGUGGCCCAAUAUGGAAAGGUUCCCCUCUCAGGGGACCUCUGAAAUUAUGCUUCUAAUCCUGGGUGGAGAAAGCAAAUAAUCCAGUGUCAAACUAGGGCCGCCCUGAGGCUUGUUCAGUAGGAUCCCUAGCACCUGUGACCUUUGCGAGGGCAAAUUGUUGUGUAUUCAACCACUGAUGAUUCAGCUUCUAGCAAGCACCUACUGUGUGCUCCCUGACUGCUCAACAGUUAUUUUGGGCUUGGGAGAAGCCAAGUGGAAAAACAGACAAAAAUAUCAGAUUCUUGGAGUUCCUGCUGUGGCUCAGGGGGGUUACAAACCCGACUAGUCUCCAUGAGGAUUUGGGUUCAAUUCCUGGCCUCACUCAGUGGGUUAAGGAUCCAACAUUGCUGCAGGCUGCAUCAUAGGUGGCAGAUGUGGCUCGGAUCUAGUGUUGCUCUGGCUGUGGCAUAGGCUGCAGCUGCUGCUCUGAUGCAACCCCUAGUCUGGGAA